CGCCUCCUCCUCCUCCUCCUCCCCGCCGGGGUGAAACUCGAGCGCCCCACCCGCGCCUGACCUCCCCGAGCCCCUCCCCGGGCCCCGCCCCUUCCCGGUACAGGACCCCCACCUUCGCUCCUGGGAGCCCCGCUGCACCCCAGGAGUUCCAUUCCAGCCUCCCCAGUGCGAGUGCGGCCGAGCGCUGACUUUUGGGGGCUCCCUCCCCCGUCUCACUGGGUCCCUCUGCGGCUCCCCCGCCCGCUGUCCCGGUUCAGACGUGGCUGCACCCCGGAGGGGGGCGCCGGCCGAGACCUGAGACGUGGCGCUCCCUCUCUGCCGGCCUCGGCUUCAGUGCUUGAAUUUCAGCCACAUCCCUAAGCUGCCAUCUCAGACCAGAGGAACAGGGAGGGGGGCUUUCUGGAAAGAACAUCACCUGGAAGAAAUCAGGACAUGACUGUGGGCCAUGAGUGACCUUCAAAGGAAAGCCGGGUAUCUGUGGUCUUUAAGAUGUGUGUUCUCUUUUUACCCCUGUUUCCAUUCUUUUAGAUCCAUGACAUUUAAAAACUGAAGAAAUGGAAAGAUCAUCUGAUCAGGCCCAUCAGUCUUUUUCCUAAUGCUAAACAUUGGUACAAAGACGUGAAGUUUGAUGUCUCACUAAGAUUGCCUAGGGCUGCUUUAUUGCUCACCUACUUCAAAGUAUUGGGAAAACAUGAUUAUGGGUACAGGUGAUGCUGUGUUGCCCCCAGACAGGUUUCUUUUGUCAGGUUCUUUUGAUGGAUUAGGAACCUACAAGUGGGGAGAUUUUAGGGAAAUAGCCCCUCCACUUGGAUUUCACCAAAACGUCUUUAGGGUUCUCUUACCCCAAGAAACACGCAUUCCUCUUUAGUGUGGCAGCCCACUCUAUUGGCAAAGUUAAGCAGACCAGUUUUACUAAAAAGGAGCCACCCAGAAACUUAGACAGAAAAUACUUGAGGCACAGAUGAGAAUGAGCACAAAUGUGCAUAGCAAGUGCAGUUUCCUGGCCCUUAAACUGAAGGGCCAGGUCAGUCUGCUCCUCCAGGCACAGCCUGGGACCCCAUCAUGUGCCCCACUCUGCAGUCUGAGCUUCCACUCAAGUCCACCAGGGCCUGCCUCACAUAUAUAUACAAGACCCAAUGUCAGAGUCUGCCUCUGCCCAUGUCUGGUCAGAGGGUUGCACUUUGCCACUGCUACAUGUUCCCAGAGGUUGGCACAGCAUGACCUGGACCUCACCUAACCCAGGCAAACUCUGCUCAUCUUCGAGCUCUCUGGAACCCAUUUCUCAAGGGAGAACCACAUUCCCCCACCUCACAGCCAAGUUCAAGGAAGCAGCCUGGCUAAAGCAAUGACUCAAGGAUACCAGAAGCAGAGCACGCAUUUAAGAAGAUGCGCUGACUCGCAGGAGCAGCUGACUCUUCUUAAGAAGAGUUUACUGAUUCUUCUUUCAGUACGGGCCUUUUAAUAAGAUAUUGUAUUUUACUUCAGCUAUGGGUGCAGACAAUUAAAGGAUUCUAGAAAUCUGAAAGUGUUUUGCCUUGUCCUCUUGGUUAAAUUUCUGGAUAUAUUGUCUAGCAACUCAAUUUGCUUAAACAAAAUUGUUGUGUCAAAAAAGCCCAAGUCAUCUUUUAUAAGUGUGGUCUGGGGAGAAGAAAAAAAUGCUAAGUUUAAAAGAUUUUUGGAAUAUCUGAAGAAAAUACAGAUAGCUUGUAAUGGAGAUGAAGCCUCUGGAUGGUUUCCAGGGUGUUAUUUUCCGACAUUGAGUCUUGUAUAUAUCUUGAAUGUCUAUAAGCAAAGAAUGGCUAUACUGUUUUUAAAAAGAUAUGUUUUAUACUUAUUAACCAAUGUCCUCUCUAUUCCUCUGCCUUUGAAAAUAGAGCUUUGGGGGAAAAUAAGUACCUUUGGAAAUAUGUUUUCAAAAAUAAUAUUCAUCCUGCUUAGAUUUAGAAGCACAGAUUACUCUGCCUUAGUUUACUUCAUUAUUUACCAGAGAGAUUAACUCAAAAUAACCUUGAGUUAAUGAAAAGAUGAUUAAGUGAAAUUAAACCCAAAAGUAAAAUGUCUCCUGAGCAAAUCCAUAGAAAGAAGAGCCAUCAAGCAUCCAGUGGGCCCUCCAUCAAGUGUUGUUUCAGGCCCUCCUUUCCAAUCCAUUCUCAUUACCAUAAUUCACAGUGUCAGUGUCUCUCACCCAAACUACCAACACCUCCUCUUACCGUCUUCCUGACUCCAGUUCCAGUGAUCAUUCCCCAAUCAGCAGCAUCACACCCACCCCUCACACAUACAUCAUCAUCAUCAUCAUUACCGUUAAUAACACAGACCUGAUUUUAUUUGAAUUGGAAACUACUUGGCUUUAAAAAAAAAAACUCCCUUGCAGCUAGGUGAGGCCAUAGAACUCAGCCAUAACCAAUAAGAUAUAAGUGGAGUAGGAUUCUAAGAUAGGCUUUGUAAAAGGGGGCAGACAACUAAAUGGGCAUGGUCUUUCCUGUCCUUCUCUCCUACUUCUGGAUUCCCACCUGGAAG
rnacentral:lncRNA from 10 species